GGCACGGUGGCUUAGUGGUUAGCAUGUUUGCCUCGCACGUCAGGGGCUGGGGUCUCAAAUCCCUCCUCCGCCC